GAGGUUAAGGUGUAGUUUCAUCAGUCCUCCUCCACCUUUUUAUCUGUCUCCCCCAUAUCUCUCACAGUAGCUUAGUCAGCAGCAUUUUCUUGCUUCGUUGGUUUUGAAAAGCACUUGCUGCUCCCUGCUGUCAGAUUAUGUCCAGGAGACUGUCUCAGGUCAACAGUCAUAAGACAUUCUUUGCUCAAUUCUUUUCCCAGCCUAGAAAACGAAGGAAAACAAGAAAAAAACGACACCCAAAAAAACAGAAAUUGGGAAGUGGGGAAGGGAGGCAUGAUCUAAGUUACCUGGUCUCUGUAUGCAGUUCCCAUAAAGAAGGUUCUACAGUGGAUGUCUGAGUUCCUUGAGUCUGCUUGGCCAGUCUGGGACACCUGAGAGAGCAGAACUUCUAGCAUCAGUUGUAUUUUAGAACAGGUAUUUGAACUUGGUAGUGCCAGUAUCAUGGAAAUACUUAAACUGUAAUUAAGCAUUCACUGUCUGAGUGAGUAAUACAAGCAAAGGCAAUCCACAUUUACCAUCUCCCUACAAAUAUGGGAUAACAGUGAUGCCAGUGUUAGUAGUAAAUGAGUAGAUACGUAAAAUGUGGAAUUAGUUUGGAUUUGAAUGUGUAACAUGAAAAAAGAAAGGUGUUACUCACUGUUUUUAAGCUGUAACUCUGAUCUUCACAGUAUCUAAAUGUUUGGAUUUAUAAAUUUGGUAAAAACUCUUUGUUGUUUACAGACAGCACAGGAAGAACGUGUUGCAAGCUGACAAAGGAAACUCAGACACAUUGUUUAUAAGCCACUGCUGUCAUGAGGAUAGAACUGGCCAUCCUUGGGCUUCCUUACACAUUUCCUUUUGGAUUAGACAUUAUUUGGAGAUGUGGAGUUUAAGCACCCACGCUUCUGUGGUCUAAGGGAAGAAUUCAACACUGGAACUCUCCAAAGAUACCUCCAUGCAUCAGAACAAAGUAACUGCAGCUGAGACCUGAGAUUGUUCCACCUUCAGUGCUUCUAGGUCUGGAUUAAAGAGUCUGCUGAGCUGAUGCAGGAGGCCAUGGUCUUCUGAGCUCUGUUAGACUGGGGAUCACAAGAUAACUCAGCUUCUUGCUAUGCGUAUGGAAAGUCCUCCCUUCCUAAGAUAUGAAUUUCCCUCUCUGUUGUAGCCAUGAAAUAAAAUUUGCAGUAAGUUGUUUUCUUCUCAGGCAUUCACGAUUGCUCUUUUAAGCCAUACCAGGCUUCCCCAUAGUGGUGUUCAUUUUCCCCAAGAGGAAAGGUCCAGUUUCCUGUCUUCUGAGCCAGUGUGAGAAGGCGGACCUUCUGCAGAAGGUUUCAGUUUUUUCUCCAGUGCUGCUCACACAGCUCCCAUCCGGGUAAAGCUUUUUGUUACUGCAACCUUUAUUAACGAGCAGGAUAGAGAGCUCUGUCAGUGUGAACCCCCACACCACCACCAAACCAGUGUUCAAAGCUCAUCUAAAACAUCUGUGAUGGCCAGGAUCUGGUUGUCCAAAACAGAGCUUCUAGUCAUGGCUUUUUAAAAAGAUACUGCAUCUCUCAUCAUCCUCUUGGAGUUUGUAUGACCCUUCCCAACCACAGCCAGCUUAUUUCAGAAUAAUUCUUUUGUGGUGCUGUCGUGUCACUAUCCUGCUUUUCCAGAUCAGUCAUGUAAUGUCAGUAGAAGCCUCUUGUGACCUCCUUAUUACACAGACAGAUAUCUGCAAGUCAGUUAUGGAGGGUUGCUAGCUUGAAUCUGUAUUCAAAUACUCAAAUAGGCGUGUUUUUAUUCAGAUUUCCUUUUAAAGUUUUUCCUGUGUUACAUAUGCAUGAUGCUGAUAUAAUCCGGAAUUUUUAGUUGACUGUAAAAUUACUACUAGAUAUUAGACUGGAGUUGUUUUAACACCACUUCUUCCUCAAAGGAAAAUUAAUCAUUUACUAAACUAGAAUGUUAACGUGAAUGAUUGUGUUGUUAUGCAUAUUUUAUUUAAUUUUUUCAGCCUUCUAGGUCCCUUUGAAAAACAAGCUUAGCCAACCAAACUUAAGAAGCUUUUACUCGAGUGUGUGUAAAUGUUAAAUAAACAAAAUGGUUUUGCUGCUUAUACUUGCA